rnacentral:rRNA from 1 species
GCUGACGAGUCCUUUACUGACGCUAAAGCUCGAAGGUGCGGGUAUCGAACAGGAUUAGAUACCCUGGUAGUCCGCACGGUAAACGAUGGAUGCCCGCUGUUGGCGAUACAAUGUCAGCGGCCAAGCGAAAGCGUUAAGCAUCCCACCUGGGGAGUACGCCGGCAACGGUGAAACUCAAAGGAAUUGACGGGGGCCCGCACAAGCGGAGGAACAUGUGGUUUAAUUCGAUGAUACGCGAGGAACCUUACCCGGGCUUGAACUGCCAGCGGACGAUACAGAGAUGUUGAGGCCCUUCGGGGCGCUGGUGGAGGUGCUGCAUGGUUGUCGUCAGCUCGUGCCGUGAGGUGUCGGCUUAAGUGCCAUAACGAGCGCAACCCCUUUCUUCAGUUGCCAUCAGGCAAUGCUGGGCACUCUGGAGACACUGCCGCCGUAAGGUGCGAGGAAGGUGGGGAUGACGUCAAAUCAGCACGGCCCUUACGUCCGGGGCUACACACGUGGAUGGGCGGUGGUACAGGGAGUCGGAAUGUAUCAAGUGCGGUCCAAUCAGGAAAGCCAUCCUCAGUAAUGAUUCGGGUCUGCAACCCGACGCCAUGAAGCAGG